rnacentral:rRNA from 1 species
UACGUAGGGUGCGAGCGUUAAUCGGAAUUACUGGGCGUAAAGCGCACGUAGGCGGCUUUGUAAGUUAGAGGUGAAAGCCCGGGGCUCAACUCCGGAAUUGCCUUUAAGACUGCAUCGCUUGAAUUGUGGAGAGGUGAGUGGAAUUCCGAGUGUAGAGGUGAAAUUCGUAGAUAUUCGGAAGAACACCAGUGGCGAAGGCGACUCACUGGACACAUAUUGACGCUGAGGUGCGAAAGCGUGGGGAGCAAACAGG